UGGGGAAUUUUGGACAAUGGGCGAAAGCCUGAUCCAGCCAUGCCGCGUGAGUGAAGAAGGCCUUCGGGUUGUAAAGCUCUUUUAGUCGGAAAGAAAGAGUUGCAAUGAAUAAUUGUGAUUUAUGACGGUACCGACAGAAAAAGCACCGGCUAACUACGUGCCAGCAGCCGCGGUAAUACGUAGGGUGCGAGCGUUAAUCGGAAUUACUGGGCGUAAAGGGUGCGCAGGCGGUCUUGCAAGUCAGAUGUGAAAGCCCCGGGCUUAACCUGGGAAUUUCGUUUGNAACUACAAGACUAGAGUGCAGCAGAGGGGAGUGGAAUUCCAUGUGUAGCAGUGAAAUGCGUAGAGAUGUGGAAGAACACCGAUGGCGAAGGCAGCUCCCUGGGUUGACACUGACGCUCAUGCACGAAAGCGUGGGGAGCAAACA
rnacentral:rRNA from 1 species